ACGAAUCUAAACAACUACUCCCUCCGUCUAACUUUGACUGUCCGUUUUAUAUGAAUUUUUUUUUAUAAUUCGUAUUUUUAUUGGUAUUAGAUGAUAAAAUAUGAUUAAUACUUUGUGCGUGAUUUUUUUUUUAAUUUUUUUCAUAAUUUUUUCAAAUAAGACGGACGGUCAAACAUUAGGCACGGAAACCAAGGUUUGUCUUUUUU
rfam:Oryza rufipogon genomic scaffold, chr02